GGUUAAAUGAAUAUAACUGCAGAAAAUGGGCUCGGAAGGCAAAUCGACCUGGAACGCACAUCUGGUGCGUAAAUGCAAAACUAAAAGGAGAAGCAGAACAAGGAUUAUGCCACUUUAGGCAGAUGGAAUAUCCUUUUUUCUUUUUAUUAUCCUUUUCAGACAUUUAAAAACUUCGGUGGAACUUCUAAAGAUUAAGGUGGAUACCAGAGACCUGCAGAAGUGCACCGCCACUCAAAAUACACCGCGUGCUUACUCGCAUAUUUCUCAUACUUGUGUAUCAAAAACACUUAGCCAAAUAUGUCGCGGUGGUUUUAACACUCACAGAAUUUUUCCACUUAGCUCAAAGCGGUUAAAAAAAUACUUAACUCUCUUCUGCUUAUUCAUGUUAUUACUUAAGCUGAGCGACAACACAAAAAAAGCGGUUUGAGUAAAUGACAUUCUCAAAUUUUAGCAACUCUCUGAGUAUUGAGUUCAUUUAAUACUUUUUUGUUCUUUGCACGCUCUUUUUGUGUGUUUUGUAUGUGAUUUACACGAGUGGCAGAUCGAGCAGCCGAAGACGCUGUCAUCCAUGUGCUAAACCCCUGUAAGAAACAGCUGAAGGUCAAAUGAUCAACAAAACAAUAAUUAGUGUGUAUAUGCAUGGACAAGAAACAAUAAUCGCUUUUUUCCAAAAGCAAACUUUGACUAUAUUAAAAAGGGAUAUGAAUAUUUCAAUUUUACAUACUAAAAAUUGUUUUUAUUCUAAUUAUCGUACGAACAGUCAAAAGGUUGACAUUGUUCUUGCAGGGAAUGUUCCACACUUGCGUCAGCAUACAUAAAACAACAAAAAAGUUUGCAGUUCUUAAUAAGCAACGCACAAAAAACUGAAGCACGACAAAACAAGAAUACACGAACAACAAUACAAUAGUAAACACUCAAGUACACGCGCUACUGGUGAUGAGUGUGUCUUGCUUUUUCCUCAGUUGGUCUUGAGUAUGAUCACCACUUGUCAGUGAAAAUCAAAAAGAAGAAUGUGUAAAACAAAUACAAUUAAUAUGCAAUAGCAAGUAUACGACUGGCUCAUUAGCUUCUCCACUCAUAGUUCUUUGAGUAGAUGUUAGCUCGCAAUGCAUGUCUAUGAGUGUGAGUGGACACCGACAUCGCUUUUGAAGCAAGUUUACUCUAAGUACGGAAAUUAGGCACUCAUGCAGUUCUCUGGUGGAUACCCAUAUAGGAAGGUAGCUAUACUUGGUAUGGGUACGGGGAAUCCUACCAGCAGUUCUUUAAGGCAUACAACGGCAAUCGCUCAUCAAUCGUACAAUACAAAUUCGAAUUAGAAUUCGACACAUGAUGGAAGCAGCACUCGUUGUCCUUUGCGUUGGGAAGUAACAAAAAUCAUGCACCUAGAAAUACAACACAAAAUAUGCUACAACAACAGAGUUGGUAUUAAUAUUCCCAUGCUUAUAAUAUUGGUGGAUAAUCGCCACAUGGUGUAACAGGUAUUUCAGCAACAACAAAUAAUACAUGUGAAUUUGAAUAUGUACAAAAGUCAAAAUCGCACAACGCAACCUGCAAAUAACAAGGCAUCGGAUGAUGUUCAACAAAUUACAUCUGACUUUUGGAGUAGCAGUUUCACUACUUAUUUUCGACGUGCUAAAUACAGAGUCUCCUAUAUUGCCCUAGAUCUACACAAUGGAUAGUUAACAUAAUAACAGAGCUAGAAAAAACAAAAAACGCAGAUGUUGCUUAUCCUGCUUCUGAUUUGACUAUGCUGAACUUACUAUUUAUCAUUUUCAAUAUUAUGAUGGUUAAUUUAUAAAUUUUGAACGUAAGCAAUAGCACUAAAUUUAUUAAUCUAAAUGUGAUAUAUUGUUAAAUUAGCAUCUAUGUAUAUACAAAUGAAUGUACGAAUAUUUGUAACAAUCGUAAUAGUAGUGAAAUUUAAUUUGUAUUGUAUAACAACACAAAAAAAACCAUACUUAAAACUUUUGAGAAGUUGUAAAUUAUAAAAAUUUAAUAAUUAAUACUAACUUUAUAUGUGAAAUAAAUUUUGUCAAUGUAUAAAUGAUAGCCGUAAAAACGUUUGUAAAAAUAAAAGAUUACUUUCUACUGAAAUGCUAAUAUUUAAAAA